rnacentral:lncRNA from 1 species
AUGAAGUGCUUGAGAGGAUGUGUUUUAAGCUGGAAUGCUUCCGUGGCUCACGUCACAUCCAUAAACGCAAUUGAACAUCAGUAUCAAACUGAAAUGAGUGGAGAGGAUCUGCAAAGCUCCCUUGGUUUCUGUGGGGCAGCAUCAAGUGGACAAUCAAUCACCAAAAGAUUAAGUUGUGCUAGAGGCACAAUCACAAACAGGACAGAAGGAUGUCAGGUCUCCACAGAAGGCGUCAUCAGGCCAUCAGUGAAGAGGUGUGGGAGGAUAUUUCAGACACCUUCCUCCUACAUCCAAACGAGGACACAUUUACCCACUGCAGGAGGUGAGGAUGGAUGCACUGACGGAGACCCGUGUUACUACACUCUUCACAAGUACCAUGCUCACCUUUCUAAAUUGUUUAGAAGCUGUUUUAUAGCCUUCACAUCAGCACAAGUUCCUGAUGUACUCAUUUCAUAAUCUAUAAUUGCUCCUAAUAUAGCACUGUUGGGGAUAUCAUUGUCUUAUCAACUGGUACCAACCAGGAAAAGGCUUUGGAUCAUGUAUUUUAGUCUCCUGAACACCUUGCCUAAGCUAAGUGGAGGACUUUUCCUAGUGUACGACCGUGAUGUGGUACAUUUGAUUUGUUGAUUCGGUUUUGAUGAAGUUGUGGAAAUCUCCUUUGAUGUUGGUUGUGUAAGUGAUGGAUACGACGAGCUGUUCAAAAUGAAGCGUUAAGGACUGAGGUUUGUAUUGAUUAGGAAGAUCAGAAUGAAAAGAUGUGCUGGAGUGUUCAUUUUUUCCUACUCAAAAGGAAUGCAGCAGGGUGUAAUUAUUUCAGCAUAUCCAGGCAGCUGUUGGUAUUUUGCUGUUUUUCUGUUUUUGUUACAGUUCCCUGGCCAAUGUGUUGGCAUAGCAAAAGGAAUCAUCUUUGGAGCUGGCACAGCAAAGGCAUGUGAGCAACCUGAUGCAGCUGAGUUUGGUGCAUCCCUGUUGCUUCAUGUGGACCAGGAAUUUAUCCCAGUACAUAGAAAGUGGCUGACACUGAGACUUCGGAUAUUGGGGUUUUUUAGCAUUGCUUGCACAUGGCUUAGUGGGGACAUCCUGCUUAACAACAGACUGCAACAUAAAAACUUGAAGCCUAUUUGUAACCUAAAGCAGAGGCACUAAAAUGAAGCCAGCUCAGCCCAGCCUUACUGGAAAUGACCUGCUGUACUCAUUGUUUCAAGUCUCAAUGUGAAGAGUGUUGAAUACAAGGUUUUUUUUCCCAAACUCUUCGUGUCAUCCUAAGGAAAAAAAAGCUUAGAAGGGGGGAAAUGCCUGCAGGAAGUCUCAGAUUGUUAUUUAGAUUUUGGGGAUCAGUCUUUGUGUAAUAAUUUCUCUGAAUGGGAAUAAGAGAUUUCCCUAUGCGACGUCUUACAUCAGACCAUCUUGGGGGAUUUUGUGAGCCUCCAUCACGCUCAUCUAACGGAGGUGCAUG